CCCAGCAAACACCUGACGUCGAUCCAACGUUGGAUAUAUAUUGGAUUUAUGUCACGACGUCGGAAGCCCUAAUUCCAACGUCUGUACAACGUCGGAAUUGCGACGUCGGAUAGAAACAUAAAUAGACGUCAAUGCGACGUCGGAUUUAGGUUAGAUUAAGGUCGGCGUUCUUUUGGAAUAGUUUCGCUGCAGUAAUCGCCCUUUGUUCUAAAUUAUGACCGCGCCAGGUGUCGUUUGAAAUAUUAUUUUUAGUUGCAUUUCAAAAUUAAUUCCUACUUUACUUUUUAUUUGAGUCAAUUACAAGUGCAAUUGUUUUUUGAAAAAAAUACAUUUAAGGGUGUAAUCGAUAAUAUACAAACUUAAAAAAAAAAUAAAUACAGAUAUUAUCCGAGAUUCAAAACGAGGCUACCAAAACCGCGUGUACGAAUUUAAAAGAGAAAGAAUUGGUUCACGAAAAUAAAUAUUAAAAGCAAAAUUCCAAAAAAAAGUUAUGUAUAUGUUGGUAGAAAUUAGAAAUGAGGUGGUAGCAUUAAAAGGCCGUCGUCAGGCACCACCGGAUGAAGAGACUGACAGCGGUAUUGGACAGGCCAAGACCUUGGAUGACUUCUAUGAAACUGAAGAGUUGAUAAAAAAUGCAGAGGAAAGAAGGCGUUUAGUGCAGAAACUUUCAUUGGUUGGAGGUGUGAAUGUGAAAGAUAAUGUUAAACGGAUUAUGGAAAAG